UACGAUGAAGAGUUUGAUCCUGGCUCAGGAUGAACGCUAGCGGCAGGCUUAACACAUGCAAGUCGAGGGGUAUAGUUCUUCGGAACUAGAGACCGGCGCACGGGUGCGUAACGCGUAUGCAAUCUACCUUUCACAAAGGGAUAGCCCAGAGAAAUUUGGAUUAAUACCUUAUAGUAAUACGACUUGGCAUCAAGAUGUAUUUAAAGAUUUAUCGGUGAAAGAUGAGCAUGCGUCCCAUUAGCUAGAUGGUAAGGUAACGGCUUACCAUGGCAACGAUGGGUAGGGGUCCUGAGAGGGAGAUCCCCCACACUGGUACUGAGACACGGACCAGACUCCUACGGGAGGCAGCAGUGAGGAAUAUUGGACAAUGGGCGCAAGCCUGAUCCAGCCAUGCCGCGUGCAGGAUGACGGUCCUAUGGAUUGUAAACUGCUUUUAUACAGGAAGAAACACUCCCUCGUGAGGGAGCUUGACGGUACUGUAAGAAUAAGGAUCGGCUAACUCCGUGCCAGCAGCCGCGGUAAUACGGAGGAUCCAAGCGUUAU
rnacentral:rRNA from 2 species